rnacentral:lncRNA from 1 species
UUAGAUUUGUUGAAUUUCCAAUAUACGCAACUUUAUACUAGCAAAUUUAUGGUAUGAGAAAUUUAACGAAAUUAUUGUUGUAUUCUCUCGAACUGGGCAAGCCUGCAAUUUAAAAAUAGACCCUCCUCAACCAAUUGGCGAAGGACGUUCAGUUUUACCAAAGUUCGUAUAUAUUAUUUACGAGAAAUGGAAUUCGACCCUUGGAGAGAUCGAAACGCUUGGCGGGUCAACCCUAGCAGUGCAAAUUGCAUAGAAGAUACAAGAAUAAUUAUGUACUGAAUAAAUAUCCACGCGAACGGCUAUUAUCCUGGAUAACAUUCUUUACAAGUGAGGAGUGGUACAAUAAAACGAGAAAUAAAAAAUGAUGAAGACUUGUCUGAACGUUCAACAUUUGACCUCGGUUCGAUGUACGCCUAUUUACAACUAUAUUGGAUAAAAUUGAGAAGCUAAAUGCGAAUGCCGUUAUUUACUCCACAAGAAGCCUCAAUACUCAACCAAUAUGGUUUCAAAUGUAAUAGCAGACAUAUCAUAUCAUCAUAUCUGCAUUACUAUCAUCAAAAUGGUAAUGUUUUAUAACGAAAAUAUACAGUUGAACGCGAAUGUCGUUGUUUACUCCACAAGAAAGAAGCUACAGACACAUUUGUUCAUCGAAAUUACGCGACAUACUGAAAUAUGUUUGCUGGAGGAGAAAUUAAAACGCGACAAAUAUCUAUAAAUGGUUUCAGACCUAUUGACAACUAUAUUGGAUUUAACUGAGAAGCUAAACGGGAAUGUCGUUAUUUACUCCACAAGAAACCUCAACAAAUAUGUACGUUAUAUGAAAAAGUUGUUUUUUGACAGGGUUUCAGAUCUAUUAGCGGUCAAAUAUGAUAUUUGUUGUACGCGAAUGUCGUUGUUUACUCCACAAGAAAGAAGCUACAAACUCAUUUGUUAACUGAAAUUCCGCGAUAUACUGAAAUUGUUUGGUGUAGGUGAAAUUAAAGCCCAACAAAUAUAUAUAUACAAAUGUAAAUACACAAAUAUAAAUAUGUUUUUAAGCUGUAAUAAAAAAAUGUUUUUGACAGGGUUUCAGACCUAUUGACAACUCUUUUGAAUCUAACUGAAAAGCUAAACGCAAAUGUUGUUUACUCUACAAGAAACUUUAAAAAUUCAACAAUAUAGUUGUAUAGAGAAGAUGUACGGGAAUGUCAUUGUUUACUCCACGAGAAAGAAGCUAGAAACAGUUGUUCAUUGAAAUUACGCGUUAUACUGAAAUAUAUUUGGUGUAGGAGAAAUGAUAUUUUUAAUUAAGAUGUUGAGCAACUUUUGGGAAUUUCAGAGAGCUGUCGAUUCGAGUACAACUCAAACAAUCAGCUUAUUUGCCAAAAUUGUACGGACAGUGUUGAAUGGAAUUGUGCGAGGCGGGACGACUGACGGUUUGAAGAAGAGCUAUUUUAUCAGGAAGAGAUGGUGAAGAGAGUGAGAAGACUGAAGAGUGAUAUUGUGAUUUAUCACUCAAGGUUGAUGAGGGAAGAUGAGAGGGAACGGCUGGGAGGUUUUUAUCAGGUUGAAACACGUGAUCUAAGUUCGCAGGUUACAAAUAUCUGGGCGAGAACGACAACACGGGAUGGAAAUCCUACCGAAGAGGGAAAAUAGAUGUAACACUAGCGGACAGGAGGUUCGGACUCGGCGGAGGCCGAUUUUUUACGUAUAAAAUUGAAAUUGAUC